rnacentral:rRNA from 1 species
ACGAACGCUGGCGGCGUGCCUAAUACAUGCAAGUAGAACGCUGAAGAGAGGAGCUUGCUCUUCUUGGAUGAGUUGCGAACGGGUGAGUAACGCGUAGGUAACCUGCCUUGUAGCGGGGGAUAACUAUUGGAAACGAUAGCUAAUACCGCAUAACAAUGGAUGACACAUGUCAUUUAUUUGAAAGGGGCAAUUGCUCCACUACAAGAUGGACCUGCGUUGUAUUAGCUAGUAGGUGAGGUAAUGGCUCACCUAGGCGACGAUACAUAGCCGACCUGAGAGGGUGAUCGGCCACACUGGGACUGAGACACGGCCCAGACUCCUACGGGAGGCAGCAGUAGGGAAUCCUCGGCAAUCGGGGCAACCCUGACCGAGCAACGCCGCGUGAGUGAAGAAGGUUUUCGGAUCGUAAAGCUCUGUUGUAAGUCAAGAACGGGUGUGAGAGUGGAAAGUUCACACUGUGACGGUAGCUUACCAGAAAGGGACGGCUAACUACGUG